AGCAUUAACAGAUUUUUCGGGUCGAACUGGGCCAUAUUAUUUCAAACCGAAUUACCCGUACGUUUCAUCUUCAAAACCCGGUUCGUACAGAAAGUAAACCCUUGUGUCAGAAACACCGUGAAAGUGAACUCAGUGUAAGCUGAAAGGAAAAGUGCUUGUACUGAAUAAUCACUUAUCAAAGUAAAAUCACAAUGGCUUCUUCCAACAAUUCAGUAGCAGAAAACAACAAGAAGAAAACCAAAAAACCACAAACCUCAACUCCUACAAGCAAAAUCAAGAAAGACAACAAAAACAUUGAAAAAUCCAAAGAAAACAACAACAAGAAUAAGAAGAAGCUCAAUUUCACAAAUGGAAAUUCCAAAGAACAGGAAGAAAGUGGAAGAAAAAAGAAACAUGCAAAGGAUGAUGACGAAGAAGAAGAUGCGAAAACGCAUGUGUUUCCUAUGAAUCGAAUUAGGACGAUGUUAAAGGGUGAAAUUAGCGAUUUGCGUGUUUCUCAGGAAGCUAUAUUGGCUAUUAACAAUGCUGCGGAGAAGUUUCUUGAACAAUUAGCGGAAGAUGCUUAUGGUUGUUGUGCUCAGGAUCGGAAGAAAUCUUUGAGCUACAAUCAUCUAUGGUCAAAUGGUUCAGAGAUAUGGUAAAAUCAUUAAACUUCUUCAGUGCUGUAAACUAGAAAAGGGAAUGGUGGAGCACGUGUUGUUAGUAAGCAAAAAAGAUAUGACUUUCUGUCCGACUUUGUUCCUGAGAAAGUGAAAGCUGAGGAUGCAUUAAGAGAGACAAACUCAAGAGGGAAUAAAGGAGGUUAGGAAAUGUAAAACACAGAAAGUGGUGAACCUAAGUCAAUUCUUUUGUUAAACACAUUCUGAAAUGGAAACAUGUAUGAUGGUUAGUACUUAGUAAUGCACUGUUUUACAUCUCCAUAGUGUAUUUACCGUUGCACUCUUCUUUAAAGCUUCCAUCUCAUAUGGCUAGAUUUUUCUUUUCUUGCUGUGGCUAUGCGAACUUGAUGCUUGACAUUUGUAACGGUUAUUUUCGUUUUUAUUUUUAUGCUGAAAAUCCCAUGGGAAGAUAGAAAA